GACGAACGCUGGCGGCGUGCUUAACACAUGCAAGUCGAACGGAAAGGCCCUGCUUUUGUUGGGUGCUCGAGUGGCGAACGGGGGAGUAACACGUGAGUAACCUGCCCUUGACUUUGGGAUAACUUCAGGAGACUGGGGCUAAUACCGGAUAGGAGCUUCUGCUGCAUGGUGGUGGUUGGAAAGAUUCGGCGGUUGGGGCUGGACUCGAGGGUUAUCAGCUGGUUGGUGGGGUAGUGGUGGACCAAGGCUUUGAAGGGUAGGCGGCCUGAGAGGGUGACCGGCCACAUUGGGCCUGAGGUACGGCCCAGACUCCUACGGGAGGCAGCAGUGGGGAAUAUUGCACAAUGGGCGGAAGCCUGAUGCAGCAACGCCGCGUGCGGGAUGACGGCCUUCGGGUUGUAAACCGCUUUCGCCUGUGCCGAAGCGAGCGUGACGGUAAUGGGUCAAGAAGCCCCGGCUAACUACGUG
rnacentral:rRNA from 1 species